rnacentral:snoRNA from 1 species
GUCCCUUUAUAUCUUAUAAACAGGAUGACUGGGUUUUCACAUUAUUGCCUGAGAUGCACCUUCCUUAAAUCCUGCUUCGACAUCAGUGUAUUAUCAGUCUGUUU